rnacentral:rRNA from 1 species
UACAGAGGGGGCAAGCGUUGUUCGGAAUUACUGGGCGUAAAGGGCGCGUAGGCGGCCCUCUAAGUCGAACGUGAAAUCCCCGGGCUCAACCCGGGAACUGCGUCCGAUACUGGAAGGCUUGAAUCCGGGAGAGGGAUGCGGAAUUCCAGGUGUAGCGGUGAAAUGCGUAGAUAUCUGGAGGAACACCGGUGGCGAAGGCGGCAUCCUGGACCGGCAUUGACGCUGAGGCGCGAAAGCCAGGGGAGCAAAGCGGG